AGAGUUUGAUCCUGGCUCAGAAUGAACGUUGGUGGCGUGGAUUAGGCAUGCAAGUCGUGCGAGAAGGCCCCGCAGGGGGCCGGACAGCGGCGAACGGGGUAGUAAUGCGUCGGCACGUGCCCUGGGGCCCGGGAUAGCGGCGGGAAACUGCCGGUAAUACCGGAUGACCUCUCCGGAGCAAAGGUGUGAUUCCGCCCUCGGAGCGGCCGACGUGGUACCAGCUAGACGGCGGGGUAACGGCCCACCGUGGCAAACACGCCUAGGGGGUGUGAGAGCAUGGCCCCCACCACUGGGACUGAAACACUGCCCAAACACCUACGGGUGGCUGCAGUCAAGAAUCUUCGGCAAUGGGCGCAAGCCUGACCGAGCGGCGCCACGUGCGGGAUGACGGCCCUCGGGUUGUAAACCGCUGUCGGGGGGGGAAUAAGUCACCGGCGGGGCCCCUCCCCCGCGUGUUGACAGAGCCCCGAGAAGAAGCGCGGGCUAAGUACGUGCCAGCAGCCGCGGUAAGACGUACUGCGCGAACGUUAUUCAGAAUCACUGGGCUUAAAGGGGUGCGCAGGCGGCUU
rnacentral:rRNA from 1 species